rnacentral:rRNA from 1 species
UGACCGCUGGCGGCGUGCCUAAUACAUGCAAGUCGAACGCUGGAGAUCUAGCUUGCUAGAUCGAAGGAGUGGCGAACGGGUGAGUAAUACAUAAGCAACCUACCCACGAAGACUGGGAUAAUCUCUGGAAACGGGGACUAAUACCGGAUAGGUAAUCGGAAGGCAUCUUCUGGUUAUUAAAGGUUAAAAACACUGGUGGAUGGGCUUAUGGCGCAUUAGUUAGUUGGUGAGGUAACGGCCCACCAAGACGAUGAUGCGUAGCCGGCCUGAGAGGGUGAACGGCCACAUUGGGACUGAGACACGGCCCAGACUCCUACGGGAGGCAGCAGUAGGGAAUUUUCGGCAAUGGGGGCAACCCUGACCGAGCAACGCCGCGUGAGUGAAGACGGCCUUCGGGUUGUAAAGCUCUGUUGUAAGGGAAGAACGGUAGAUAGAGAAUAUCUAAGUGACGGUACCUUACCAGAAAGCCACGGCUAACUACGUG